AAGUCGUAACAAGGUAACCGUAGGUGAACCUGCGGUUGGAUCAUUAACAAAAGUGUCUUGGGUUUUGCCCUUGACUUACUGAGACGAAGCUGAAAGGCCUAGUCUCUCUUACCUUUUGUGAACAGUUUAUUGUCUCUGGUAGUGAAUGUGUUAGUCCUGGAAGUAUGAAGGGACUAGCUCACGCCUACCAGUAAUCAACCUUGAGUAUUAUCUAGUCUUAACUACUUGAAAAAGUAAACAACUUUUGACAAUGGAUCUCUUGGCUCUU
rnacentral:misc_RNA from 1 species